CCUUUCCAAUGCCGUCAUCCUCGUCCUACUUCCAGCUCUCAUCCAUUGCCGCAGAUCCAAACCAGAUAAACCCCUUCCUCAUCUACCUCUCUGAUGAUGAACACACCAACCUAUACCGACAAAUUCUCACAGGCUCAGCGCCUCUUCUUCCCGACGUUGAGGAACGAGUUCUAACUACUCUUGUUCAGAAUCAGGAUCUCAUGGGCAAUCUCACUCUAAAUGAAUCGAAGAAUAUCCUCACCAUGGUUGCCCACGUGACCGCUGAACCCUAGCCAGUUGAUGCUUCUGAUGAUGAGGAAACUAUUGAUGAAGUUCAACUUACGACAGACCUGGAGGCGAAGAAAUCUAAUGCUCUGGAACUUCAACGUCUAAGCCAUCUCAACCAGCAUCUCACCCUCCACCAGUUAUCGUGUCCGACCCUGCUCUUGUUACUACCGGGUUCUCAAUUAGGGAUAUUGUGUCUUGUUCAGGUGCUCCUAUCACCUCCACCCAACAAGCAGUGCUCUCUGAUCUAAUUAAAAAUCUCCCUAAUCUACGCUUGUCCACCCAAUCUGUUCCUAUCAUCACUGUCCCUUUCGUCAAAAAAUGCAAAAAGGGUAAAGAAAAGGUUGUGUUUUAAUCCCGUACUGUUCCCUCAAAACAUAAAGCAUCUGAGUCUAAUGAUGAUGUUGUGAUCAUCUCUGAAAUUAGGAAAAAAAAAAAAUCUGCCCCCUCUAUCUCUGUUCGGGUGACUAGAUCUAGAACAGGUGUUUCUACUCCUGUUGCUCCUCCCAUACAGAAACAUGAGAUGAGUUCGGUUUCUAAGCCCUCUAAGCCGAAAACCACUCCAAAGUCUAGCUCUGCCUCGAAAUCUGUCUCUGUUCCAGGAGCACACUUUUUUUAUGCCAAAAAUUCCAAACGUAAGCCUUUCAAACCUGUCUUGCGUCUGUAUCAGCUUCUGGAUAGUUGGAAUAUCAACUUUGCACGCUCUAUGUUGGUUGAGAAGAGUAUAGAUGUGGACAAUCUCUUAUACAGUGCAAUGUCGUAUCUCUUCUUCAUGAUCAAAACCUUCUUCAGACUGUUCGUGAUGUGGGAUCUUACUCUAUAUGGCGGACUCCAGAAUUUUACACCAACUUGUCUCCUGACUUUAUACUUGCCUCCUUUGAGCACUAUCAUCAAGUAUUUGUGCGCUACAAGUGGUAUGACUUCAGCCCCUAUGUCAUCAAUAAGUACUUCAACAGAUCCGCGAUGGAAGAGGACUUUGAUCCCAGUUUGGAUGUUCUAGUUUCUGCUCUUACUCAUGCUGAGAUUACCUCUUGGCCAGCUACUGGUCUUCCCUCAAACUCUCUCACUAUUGUCUACUCAGUUCUAUUUCGAUUGGUGUCAAGUAACUGGCUUCCAAGUGUCUCUCUGCAUGUUGUCAACAAAAAGAUGGCAUUACUACUCUACAAAGUGAGGAACAAAAUCAGCUUUGAUCUGGGUAUGCUCAUCUACAAUCACGUCAUGACCUUUGCAAAAGGGAAGGAACCCAAAGUCCAUUUGCCUUUUUUUUUUUUUUUUUUUUUUUCCCUAUCUCAUCUAUGGUAUUUUGAAGGCUCAGGGACUAACUCUAUGAAAAUGAGCAUGAAUACACUAUUUCCAAAAAAAAAUACACCAUGGAUUACAGACUACAUCAAGGGUCCCACUAUGACGAUAGAGCCUCUCUGCUCUGUGACACUACUCAUGCCUCAACUCCAGCCCAGACAGCUUCCGGUCUUCCUCUGCCAGGCAUGACUCUACUGCUCCAGUUUCUACUCCAUCCUGCCCUCCAGAGCUUGUGACUCUUCAAAAAUAGGCUGAUUACUACAAGUAUGUCUCUAUUUCUCUGAAGAGCAAUAUUGCCUCCUUACAAGCUGUAGUUGCUAAAACUGAAAACAAGUUCUCCUGCACUCUGAGGCAGAUAUCCAAGCUUGAAACGACAUCUCAUCUCACCUUUCUACUCAUGAGGAACCCGAGGAUGAAGACAUGGGCACUCUGAUCCGUCUCAGAGCUCCAGCCACUAGAUGACAUGAUGGCCCCUUGGCAUUAAGUGUGACAAAAAGGGAAAGUACGGUUGAAAGGGGGAGUUUGUAUUAAGGGGGAGGUUUUUGGUUGGUUGGUUUUUGACUGCACAUUUGAACUGAUAAUAAGUGUAAUAACGUGAUGUUUUUUUUUAUGCUUGGUGGUAAUGUGAAAAUCUGAUUCUUCUUGGCUCA